CUCUCCCCCUUCCUUCUCUCUCUCUCCUCUUUCUACCUCUUUAAGAUGCCACAAACAGACCAUCGUCCUCCUCUCCAUCUCCGGGUCCGGGGUUCUCCCCCUUGAAACAAGCCGAGUCCUGUGGGAGGAGAGGAACCCUGGAACAGGAGCAUCGGAGAAAAAAUAUCGAGAAAGAAAUCAGCUGGAAGAGAAGGAGAGGAGAAAGAGGGGAGCUUUUUGCUUUGAGGGGAAUGUUGUCUGGCUCGAGGUGCAUGCAGAAACCUUUGAUCAGGUUAAUUUGAUCUGUAGAUCGAUAUUGAUCUCGGACCAGGCUUCAUUCCCCUCAAGUAAAGCUCCUAUAUUUGUGCGUCGUCGAUCUCUCCGCGGUUCGUGGAUCGCAUCGAUUUGUUUACAUCUGAGGCGCGCAAGCAAAACUGUCAAGAACUCGUGAUUUCAGAUAAGAUUCGAUGUGUUUUUGUUCAAGCAUGGAAGAAGUUCAUGGAGAAACUAACAUUAUACGAAAUCACCAUUGUCUACUAUUUGUGCAGAUUUGUUCUUUUAGAAGGAAACAAUGUUAUAAAGCAUUACAGGUAAUAUCAUAAAUACCUUCCAUGAUCUAGUUGUUCAUUUGUUUGGGUAGUUGUCUUCUCCCUUUUGUUUCUUCGUCCAUUAAUACAGGACACAUGCGACUGAUCAUCCUGUCCAAGUAGACAGCUGUAAGUUUGUCAAAAAAAUUUGUCUCCUUGCAUGUGCUAUUCCAACCAAGUUCUGCAACAUUCUAUGAAUGUAUACCACCAGCGAUUGGAGGCAAAAAGGGACCAAAUGUUAAUGCUGCUUUCUGAAUAGCUACUUAGCUAGUAGUGAAACAACCUGUGAAUUCUCAAUAUAACAAAAAGUAAUUUAUAUUCUUUACUAGCUGCUAGGAGGGGAGUAUAUAUAUAAUCAUGCAUGCAUGUGCUGAUGAGCAUUGAGCUAAGCACUAAACAUGAACAUAAUCCUUACAAUGCACCAAUGUAGAAAUUAGGAUUCUGAGCUAGCUGUCAUACAUGUAAUGUAAUCUCUAUCCUUUUUUUCUAGUACAUGUAGGAGUAGUACACUAGUAAGUAGUAGUAGGCUGUGCUAGCUGGGAGUGCUCUUUCACAGGUCUUGUGUUUGUUUCGGGGCUGGGGUAGAACCAAUUCAUGUGCAAGAUGGCAGGUAAUGGCGUACAUUUCUUUUGGAAGAGGAGACAAGCAAUGGCGUGGUUUUAUAUGCAUAUAACAAAUUAAAUGUCACAGGUUUACUGUUCACGAUUAUGUCUGAAUAUGCAGAAGUGCAUGAGUUCAUGCCUGUAAGAUUUGUCUCGUAAUGACCUAUUUAGCUGUCUUAGAAAACAACGAACUACAAGAUCGAUGAAGGUACGUACGUAUCGCGUAUGUUUACACUGCAUAUUGUUAACAAGUUGAUCAAGUGCACCUAUAUGUUGUGAACUUGAAUAGCAAAACGGAGAAAAUGUUCCUAGCAGUACAAAGUAAAGACUUCAAAGAUAUUGACUUUGAAUAGUUAGUUAACCGUGGUAAUAUAUGUUAUAUGUGUACAGUUAGUUUCUUAUAUAUGGAACAUUUUUGCAGCCGCGUGUCAAAAGACUCAAUAUUGAUAUGUCUAACAGUUUUUAUAAGUCUGUCUAACUGUUAUUAUUGUCCCUCUGGAAUCUAACGAACUUGCAACUUUCAUUCAUAUUAUAUUCGAAAUAUCGAUGACAUUAUUCAUUUGGUGCAAUAUAUGGUCCAGGCAACAACUAGAAGGCAGCUCACUCACAGUGGGAGGGGGGCAGAAACAACAGUAAUUGGGAAGCAAUUUAGCCCGGCAGACUAGUGCGUGCCAUUAGAAUUAUAUUUUAAUUCAAUUAUUGUCUUGUGUGAAGUGACUUGACGCAGCACAUAAUUGGGUGCACCAAAAUCUAAUGAGUUAAUUAAGCAUAGCAA